GUCGUCCGCAGCCUUACCGCCGCCGCCGCACCACCGCAGCGUCGCCGCCCAGCCUCCAUCGCUGCGCCGCCGCGUUCUUCGCCACACCAACACCCUCCUUGUUCUCCUUCCUGCUCGCCGGAACUCCCCUUCGUUCUUCCUAUUCCGCAAGCAGAAUUCAGUCGCAGCUACCACCGCUGACCCACCAGCCAGCGCGCCCCGCCACCGUCGACUGUGCCCUUCUGCCGCCGUCUCUGACCGCCGGCCAGCCACUCUUCAUUCUCUCUUUUGGCGGAGAAUUCUUUGUGGGCGACUUUUGAAUUCGUUAAAGUGGCCUAUCAGUUUGUUUACACAAGUCUCUAAGGAUCAAUAAGCAUUGUCCAUCUGCAGGUUUGAAGAUGUUGCAUCAUUGGGAUCGGGAAUAGAGAGCUUGUAUUUAGUUUUGAUUUGCUAAGUUAACUUGGGUUUGUUAAUUGGGACUUUAAACUUGUCGUACUAUUUAUAUUUCCUUAUUUUCGUUGGAUGAUUUUUGGGAUUAAACCUGUAAUCGAUUAUUUAUAAACCUAA